GGGGGCAUAGCUCAGUUGGCUAGAGCGCAGCUCUGAUAAAGCUGAGGUCCUUGGUUCGAAUCCAAGUGUCCCCA
rnacentral:tRNA from 1 species